rnacentral:rRNA from 1 species
ACGUAGGGAGCAAGCGUUGUUCGGAUUUACUGGGCGUAAAGGGCGCGUAGGCGGCUCUUCAAGUCAGAGGUGAAAUCCCCAGGCUCAACCUGGGAAUUGCCUUUGAAACUGUAGAGCUUGAGUGUCGGAGGGGAUAGCGGAAUUGCUAAUGUAGAGGUGAAAUUCGUAGAUAUUAGCAGGAACACCGGUGGCGAAGGCGGCUAUCUGGACGACAACUGACGCUGAGGCGCGAAAGCACGGGGAUCAAACAGGA